AGCGAACGCUGGCGGCAGGCCUAACACAUGCAAGUCGAACGAAGCCUUCGGGCUUAGUGGCGGACGGGUGAGUAACACGUGGGAACGUACCUUUUGGUUCGGAAUAACGCAGAGAAAUUUGCGCUAAUACCGAAUGAGCCCUUAGGGGGAAAGAUUUAUCGCCGAAAGAUCGGCCCGCGUUGGAUUAGGUAGUUGGCGUGGUAAAGGCGCACCAAGCCUACGAUCCAUGGCUGGUCUGGGAGGAUGGUCAGCCACACUGGGACUGAGACACGGCACAGACUCGUACGGGAGGCAGCAGUGGGGAAUCUGGCGCAAUGGGCGAAAGCAUGACGCAGCCAUGCCGCGGGAAUGAUGGAGGUCUUAGGGUUGUAAAAUUCUUGUAACAGGGACGAUAAUGACGGUACCUGGGGAAAAAGCCCCGGCUAACUUCGUGCCAGCCGCCGCAGUAACAC
rnacentral:rRNA from 1 species